GCUGAAGUUGUAGCUCAUUUCUUUGCUGUCGUAUCUGGACACCAGAGGUGAGCGAUACUUAUUCAUCUCUUCGGCUCCGGCCAUGGUUGCUAGUAGUGAUGUGUCCUGUGUGUCGAAGCGUCGAAUCGUGUGUCGGGUAAUCUCGGGGGCGUUUUUGUGAAGCGCGUAUCGAGGCUUGCCUUGAUUACGUAUGCAGUGACGUUCGAGGCCUCGCGGGCAGUCCGUACCACGUGACUGAUUCAGGGACUGGUUCACCGGUUCGCGCCAGAUUCGAAAUAAAAUGGGCAGAAAAACACAGCUGAUUUCCCAUCACACUGUGUUGUGGAAUUGGAUUACGUACGUGUUACAUAGUUACUUGAGCAUUUCUCUCGCCAGGGCGGAACUCAUGGUGGGUUCACGCCCUCGGCCCACGCCCCUCUGAAGAGGAAACACCUGGGCCUCAUCAGCGCAGCCAGCAUUUAAGCCAGGGAGUGGCUUCUACUCAUCGCUGGAUCGUUGUGUGUGACUCGCAUCCCCUGGACCCGACCCUGCAUUCCCCGAGCGGAUUCCCUUUUUGUGUGAGUGUUUGGAGAGAGAGUCAGAAGAGGAGCAAGUGUCUUUUCCCUACCUGGAUUUCCCCGGAGCCUUUUCCCUGUCACCGCUUUGUAUAUAGCACUAUCCCCUGCACUGUUUGUAUAUACACCUGGUGGAACUGUAAUAAAUACUGACUGUGCCUCUGA